AUCAUCUAAUCUAAUCACAUAUCAUAUAUAUAUGAAUUUAGAUCUAAUCUAAAUUAUAUCAGAUCUGAUCAUAAUCUUAGAUCAUAUCUAAAUCAGAUCGUAAACAUCACAUGCACACAUAAAAUCAGAUUUUUUCAAAGAUCAGCACAAACUAAGACAACCUAUGCACUGUAAGGGGUAAACCCUACAGCAGGACAACCUUAUGUCAGUUUGUGGGAUCCAUCCUUAAUUAAAUUC
rnacentral:lncRNA from 1 species